GCUUGCAGCUGAUGGCAGAGGCUCCCUUCCUGGGCAAGGGACACAGGCGAGUUGUGGGGGUGCAGCUCCAGCCCCCCCCCAUGUGUGGCUCCUAUCAUGGCAACAGAAGGAAGCUGCUUCUGGCAGCUGCUGGGCAAUGUAACUAUGGCAUCCUUCUGCAGCCUGCAGUGCCAGGGGCUCCCCUGGGCCUGGCCUGGCUUUUGAUACUGAUACUGCCCUCUUAACAUCAGCAGGUGUUUCUGCUGCCUUGGAAAUUACCUUAAGCAUGAGUUAAAUCUUUAACACCCCCCCACUCUACUACCAGUCAGUGAUUCUUAAUCUCAGCAUGGAAUUGGUGGGUCUGAUUUCUGGGAUGGUGUUGGUGGCGCGCAGGGGUGGGGGUGGGCGCAGUUUCCCAGCUUCCACACCCUAAUCAUACUCCUUGGCACCAGUUCCACAGAGUCAAAUGGAACUUGCUUCAAACUGGGAUCCAUACCAAGGCAGCCCAUCACCUGCUGGAUGCCCCUCUGGGAGAUGCCAGCAACAUCGCCAGGGCAUUUUUUCUUUUAAAGUGCUGCAACACCUUUAUGUUGCAACAGGGGAUAAGGACCCAUCCGUGUUUAUUCUAAAAAUAUCCAAAGAGAUUUUCCAAAGUGAGUUUGCUUUUGCAGCAAGACUUUGGCCGCACACCAGUUAUCCUGAGAAACUCACUGCUUCUGCCUAGCUUGGCAAGAAUCUGGUGUUAGCUGCCCUGGGGCCAUGCAGGCGGAUGUGGAGCAAUCGUUCUUCAAGGCGACGUCACUUCUGUUCCAGAAGAUUAACUAGUCUCUGUCCUGGUCUUCUGUAUGAAACUCAGCCAGCAAGGUGUGUGUUUGCAUGCCAUGUAUAUGCAGCAGAGAAACCACAGCUUAUGAGUUGAACCCAAAGGGAAAAGGAGUGGAGUAUUUACAGCUGGUUCGGCAGAGCCGCUUGGAUUGAUCGCUGGAGAGCAGCUGCUCCAUUUCUUGGAAGUCACCUUGGGCUCUGCUUGGAUUUUCUUCAUCCAACAGUGAUUGCAGAGGCACCGAAAGCUGAGCAUACUGGAAAAGUCUAAUAUAGCCAAGAGAUAACAAGCUUGGAAGGAAGGAAGGCCAGGCAGCGGCAUGGGACUGCUUUCACUCGUCAUCAUAAGCACAAGUUCAUUGAGCCAAGAAACACUGAAACAAAGAACAAGGCCACGGAUGUUCGUCAUGUUGGAUGCUUCUGGAGAGAACUGAUGCGAACUGAAGUCCAGCUGGUCAUGACACAAACUAGUGACGUGUUAGGAACCAUCUGAAACAUGAUCACAAACUCAGAAGCCUUGUGGAGCAACAUGUUGAUCUUUCACAUGAUCAGCAGAUCGGACUGCCACCAUGAAGAGAGACCAGCCCAAGAAUUGGGAGGACUGCCCUGCCAUGGAUGGCUCCCCCUCCCUCCCCCUCCUCUGGGGUGUGAUGGUGGAAGACGGUUUCUAUAGAAGUUCGAAGGAGCUGGGAUAGUCGCAUGAGCAACCGAGGCACAUGUGGGGACAUUUCUGGGGGAUUCACACCAGUGCUGGAUGCACCCACUCUUUUGGGGCCAAGGGGUGGGAGAGUCAUCCCACGCGAGAGCCUCCCCCUCCCUUGGCAACCAGAUGAAAAGGACAAAAUAAAGAGACAAGCAACAAGGACA